AGAGUUUGAUCAUGGCUCAGAUUGAACGCUGGCGGCGUGCUUAACACAUGCAAGUCGUGCGGUAACAGGCGUAGCAAUACGUGCUGACGAGCGGCGAACGGGUGCGUAAUACAUGGGAAUCUGCCUUUUAGUGGGGAAUAACCCGGCGAAAGCCGGGCUAAUGCCGCAUAAGAUCUUCGGAUGAAAGCGGGGGAUCGUAAGACCUCGCGCUGAUAGAUGAGCCCAUGUCGGAUUAGCUAGUUGGUGAGGUAACGGCUCACCAAGGCGACGAUCCGUAGCUGGUCUGAGAGGAUGGCCAGCCACACUGGGACUGAGACACGGCCCAGACUCCUACGGGAGGCAGCAGUGGGGAAUAUUGGACAAUGGGGGAAACCCUGAUCCAGCGACGCCGCGUGUGUGAAGAAGGCCUGCGGGUUGUAAAGCACUUUCGGUGGGAACGAAAUAUGCCGGGCUAAUACCCCGGUAGGCUGACGUACUCAAGAAGAGCC
rnacentral:rRNA from 1 species